rnacentral:rRNA from 1 species
UACGUAGGGGGGCAACGUUGUCCGGAAUCAUUGGGCGUAAAGCGCGUGUAGGCGGCCCGGUAAGUCCGCUGUGAAAGUCGGGGGGCUCAACCCUCGGAUGCCGGUGGAUACUGUCGGGCUAGGAGUGCGGGAGAGGCGGAGUGGAAUUCCUGGGUGUAGCGGUGGAAAUGACGCAGAUAUCAGGGAGGGAAACACCCAAUUGCGAAGGCAGCUCGCUGGAACGUUACUGACGCUGAGACGCGAAAGCGUGGGGAGCAAACAGG